AUUGAACGCUGGCGGAAGGCCUAACACAUGCAAGUCGAGCGAGCGGCGGACGGGUGAGUAAAGUAUGGGGACUGCCCGAAAGAGGGGGAUAACUACUGGAAAAGGUGGCUCAUACCGAAUACUAUCGGCGACGCCAUAUGGGAUUAGCUAGUAGGUGGGGUAAAGGCUCACCUGGGCGAUGAUCGCUCGCUGGUCUGAGAGUAUGAUCAGCCCCACGGGGACUGAGACCCGGCCCAGAUGCCUGCGGAGUGAGCAGUGGGGAAUAUUGCACAAUGGGCGCAAGCCUGAUGCAGCCAGGCCUCGUGUAUGAAGAAGGCCUUAGGGUUGUAAAGUACUUUCAGCGGGGAGGCGUUACCCGCAGAAGAAGCACCGGCUAACUCCGUGCCAGCAGCCGCGGUAAUAC
rnacentral:rRNA from 1 species